rnacentral:tRNA from 1 species
GGUGCUAUAGUGUAGUGGUUAUCACUCGGGAUUUUGAUCAUAGUUUCCCGAAACCCAGGUUCGAGCCCUGGUAGCACCU